GACGAACGCUGGCGGCGUGCUUAACACAUGCAAGUCGAACGGAAAGGCCCUGCUUUUGUGGGGUGCUCGAGUGGCGAACGGGUGAGUAACACGUGAGUAACCUGCCCUUGACUUUGGGAUAACUUCAGGAAACUGGGGCUAAUACCGUAUAGCAUCUCCUGCUGCAUGGUGGGGGUUGGAAAGUUUCGGCGGUUGGGGAUGGACUCGCGGCUUAUCAGCUUGUUGGUGGGGUAGUGGCUUACCAAGGCAUUGACGGGUAGCCGGCCUGAGAGGGUGACCGGCCACAUUGGGACUGAGAUACGGCCCAGACUGCUACGGGAGGCAGCAGUGGGGAGUAUUGCACAGUGGGCGGGAGUCUGAUGCAGCAACGCCGCGUGCGGGAUGACGGCCUUCGGGUUGUAAACCGCUUUCGCCUGUGACGAAGCGUGAGUGACGGUACUGGGUAAAGAAGCACCGGCUAACUACGUG
rnacentral:rRNA from 1 species